rnacentral:rRNA from 1 species
AACGUAGGAGACAAACGUUAUCCGGAGUUACUGGGCGUAAAGGGCGUGUAGGCGGUUACGUAAGUCUGGCGUGAAAUUUCUCGGCUUAACCGAGGCAGGUCGUCGGAUACUGCGAGACUAGAGGACGGUAGAGACGUGUGGAAUUCCGGGUGUAGUGGUGAAAUGCGUAGAGAUCCGGAGGAACACCAGUGGCGAAGGCGAGUUUCUGGACAGGUACUGACGCUGAGGCACGAAGGCCAGGGGAGCAAACGGG